AUUUUUUUUUUAAAUAAUUAUCAAACUCAGUGACCUUGAUGGACAGAUUCUAUUGCAGAAUUAUUUUGUUUCCCAUGUGGCUUCUGUAGGAACCAUGUUUGAACUUGUACUUGGUGUUUUGCCUUUUGUUUUAGAGAUAUAAAAUCCAUUUCUGGGCCCUCACAUGCAAGCUUGAGGUUGUAGUUUGUAGUUGUUUGACAUUUGACUUUUAAUAUGUGUGUGUGGAUUGUCUUCCAUAUUUAUAUUCAUAAAACCUUUGCAUAUAUUACAAAUUGAAGAAGUGGUCUUUUGCAUAUCCUCAUAAUUUUAAGAUUCAUAAAUUCUGCAAAGAUGCUGCUUAUGGAAGAUAGUUCUUUACCUAUCUUAAUAAUUAUAAAACAUUCUAUAGUAGGGUGAUUAAUGAACAUGCUAAUAUUUAAUUCUGAUCCUUUUCCUUAUGCUGAGUAAUUUUUUUGGUGUCGGAAAUUUUUAUUGUAUCAGUAGAUAAAAACAUCAAAAUUUGUCCACUUCCCCCCUCCCGAAUCAGCUUGGUUUCUUUAAUGGUCGUUCUGUAUGAAAAACUCGUGGAAGAAACAAAAGAUCCUUAGUAGGUUAAUACAACAUUGUACUUCAGCAUAUUGACAAUAACUUGAGCUUAUUCCAAAAUUUUUUUUUCAUAUACCUGGGUUGCCUGUAAUAUGUACUGCUGCCUAAUGAUUGGAGGAUGGCUUAAUUCCAAAAGUUAGGUUCAAACUUUGGCUGUCUGCAAUCUGCAUGUGGUGAUUUUCUUAACUUGGUUAUGGUUUCUACUUCUAAUUGAUGCAGGGAUAUCUUUGUGUGUGUGCAUCAAGCUGUAAAGUUUGUGCUCCUGGUUCAUCAUUACUGAAGUUUGCAAAAUUUACCUAGUAUGCAUCACAUGUUAUAAACAUGUAUUCUUCAAUGGUCAAAUUAGUUGGAAAAUGAAAACUACCGCUUUUGUAUUUUUAUAAGAAGUAAGUCUGGCGAUUCUUUGAAAUAAUUUAAGUCACAUUUUUAGAAAUGGAUGGUCAGAGAAUUCUUGGCAGACUGAAAAGAAAUAUAAAUGAUAUCCUUGCUAAUUAACAUGUAUGCGAUUUGCUAUGAAGCUUAUACAUCUUAUGCUUAGUUCAAAAGUGGUUUUAUUGCAUGGGAGUUUUAAGAGUGAUGGAAAGGAAGGUUAAUGAAGGUGAAGGGGGUGAUUGCACGGAAUGGAAAGCUAGGCUAAUUAACCUUAUUUGGAGAGUUUUAAUGUGUAUAAAACAUUAAAAAUCUUUACAGUCCAUCUUUAACCCCAAGUUUGGGAGUUGAGAAAAAUGGGUAUUUGGAGGUGAAUGGAUACAAGGAUUUGAUCGUCUAUAAGCUCCAUUUACACCUUAAAAUAAACUCCAAAAAAAGGUUAGGGAUUAAUUUUAUUUACACAUUUCAUCCGUCAAACUUCUCUAACUCCACUCUCAUACAAUAUUAGAGCAUGAUGAACAAAACAUAUUUCAAUUUUCUGAGAUUGAUACCAGCGAUUUUGAUUGCUCAUUAGUAUUUACAGAAAUCCCAAAAAAAAAAAAAAAAGUAGUGGUGACAAACAACCAGUUUUAUAGUCUGUAAUAAACUUUUAUUAUGAAUGCUUACAGAUAUUUGCUUAUUGUCAUUGAUGCCUUUUCAGGACUGUAUAUCAUUGUCCCUUU
rnacentral:misc_RNA from 1 species